UGCCCAGACUCCUACGGGAGGCAGCAGUCGGGAAUAUUGCGCAAUGGAGGAAACUCUGACGCAGUGACGCCGCGUGCAGGAAGAAGGUUUUCGGAUUGUAAACUGCUUUAGACAGGGAAGAAACAAGACAGUACCUGUAGAAUAAGCUCCGGCUAACUACGUGCCAGCAGCCGCGGUAAUACGUAGGGAGCAAGCGUUAUCCGGAUUUAUUGGGUGUAAAGGGUGCGUAGACGGGAAGGCAAGUUGGUUGUGAAAUCCCUCGGCUUAACUGAGGAACUGCAACCAAAACUAUCUUUCUUGAGUGCUGGAGAGGAAAGUGGAAUUCCUAGUGUAGCGGUGAAAUGCAUAGAUAUCACGCAGAACCCCGAUUGCGAAGGCAGCAUACCGGGGCACAACUGACGCUCAGGCACGAAAGCGUGGGUAUCGAACAGGAUUAGAUACCCCAGUAC
rnacentral:rRNA from 1 species